AAAUAAAACAAAACAAAAAAGAAGAAGAAAUAAAACGUGACAAAACUUGAAAAAGAAUAAUGAAGGGUGAUAAAACUUUGAAAAAGAAUAAUGAAGCAAAAGCAAAAGGAAGAAAAGGGCCCCCAUCUUAUCUCUUAGCAACAAACUCACAUGCUCCCCAUGGAAUUCUCUCUCACGUUUUGGCUGAAAAAUAAUAAAAAAUAUUCCUUUGGGGGGGCAAGAGCUUUUUCCUAAUUCUUCUUCUUUAUACAAUAGAUACAACAACAACAAAUACUCCCACCAGGUGAGGUCUGGGAAUGGUAAUUAUACAAUAGAUACACACAUUCUAAUAUAUACAGAGGGACAGAUCUGAAAGAAGAAGAGAGAAUGCCUGAAAUAUCUGAAAAAACCAACAGUGUUUCAACAAAAAGGAGGCCGUCUCGCAACAAAAAUUCCAAAACCGAAUAACAUCUUCUCCUUAACCAAAAUCUGAUUUGAAUUUUGAUUCUCCAAAACAACCGUAGCUGUAGGAGCAAAAAAGUAGCGAAUUUAAGGACUCCUUCCAUGUUCUCUUUCUUCUUCAAGAGCCAUUUUCAUGGCUGAUUCUUAAACAACCAAAAAUCACCUCAACUUCUUUCAAAACCAGCUCAAAACAACCCAAAACUUUAGCUAAAAUUCCCACCAAAUAGCCAUGAAAGCUGACAGCAAAAGCUCCAUAGAAUUGCAAAAAAUAACCGUUUCAACAGCUCCAAACCGACCAGAACGACGCUGCCGGAAACCAACUAAAAAACGACCUCAAACAGCCGUGAAAAUCACACAAUAAUAGUUUUGCACGAGUCGAGUUCGAGGUCGCGUUCGAUCUUCUUUGGUUGGUGUGUAUUUGAGGUUGCCAUCGAGUUUUCUGGUUUGUUGGCUCGAUCUUCAUAAAUAAAAGAAGCUGAGGUUUUAUUUCCAACUUUCUUCUAUUAUUUACUCUUUAGUUUGAUAAUUAAUAUAUUGUAUUUAAGAUAUAUAAUUUGUUGAAUGUUCCUGUGAACUAGUCUAAUUGUUUGGUAAGUGCUUUGCCAUGUUUGGAUGUUUUCUGCGGGGAGGACGAGAGACAGUCGUAAAAAAAGUAUUUAGAUUCUAUGCAAAGCUUAUAUGUAUUGUUUGGUGUUUAGUUUUGUCUCAUGAUAGAAUACUAAUUUGUGGAUCCAAAUAGUUUGUUUUGAAACAGAGCGUAAAGAAUUGACUCUUGUCAUCUUCUUCCAAUUUAUAUAAUCCAGAUUCAUCACUCAUUUAUUUCCCCCACUUUGUUCAUUUGCAAAAUGAUCUCCUAAAAAUUUCCUCAAAAAUAGCAAAAGAAAAAUUACCAUAGUGCCCCACUACUUUUUCUUGAUCAUAUUGGGAUCUUUAUGGUUAAUUCACGUGAAAUUUUGAUGGUGCAUUGUACAUGGGAAAAUAGUUUGUUGAUGGAAUGGUUCCAAUAAUUCUCUGGGAUAGAAUAAUUUUGGAAUGAGAGAUAAGGAAACGACCAUUGUGGCAUUAGCUCUUGGAAAGGUUUUAACGAUUGGAGGUUAUCUUUGUUUAGUAGAGGAUGAUUGCUGGUUAAGGCAUUCUAUUUUUUGCGAAUUUUGGGAUGUUAAUCUACUUGAAUUCUAUCAUUUUUUUUGUCCUUUUUGGAGCAAAUUCGCCUUGAAUGAUAUUGGGUCGCAGUAUCCAAGACUCUGCCUUACAACAAUAUCAAAUUACUUUAGGAAAUAAUUAAUAUGAACAUCUUUAGUUUGCUUUAGUAGAGUGCAAUCUUUUGGAGUAAUUUGAGGCGUGCCAUGUCAAAUAAAAUCUCAAAAUUCAUGGCCCUCAUUUAAUUAAUUUUAGUCCUUUAAAAAUUGAAGUGUUCCAUUUUUUUUGAAUUUUUAUGGCCCUCUCAAACUUGAAAGAGCGUAAUUGCUUUAGGUGUGAAAUUUAAAUUAAUUUCCCUAAACUCGGGUGUGCAUUUCAUGUGAUCCAAAUCUAAAUCUCAACAAUGUUAAAUAAAAUGUAUCGUGGACCGCGGGUUCAUUUCAUGUGGCGUGGUUCAAGGCGUGUUUUAAAUAACAUUUAAUCUUCCUAAAAAAGAAAUGAUUAAAAGCAGUUUAAUAAGUUAAAAUUUUACCAUAGGUUAAAACAUGUAACCAAAUCAGAUAUGGGCCAAUUAUAAUUGUUUAAGCGACGGUACUAGAACCACGGAAUCCGGGGAUGCCUAACACCUUCCCUCGAGUUAACAUAAUUUCUUAUUCAGAAUUUCUGGUACACAGACUUCAAAAGAAAAGUCGAAACUUUCUCGAUUUGGGAUUUAAAAUAAAUUGGUUACUUGAUACACCAGUUAAAAUAUUCCAAGUCUCGACUCUGAAUUGAAUAAAUAAUCCUAUUUCGAAUAAUGUCAAUUAAAGUAGAAAAACUCCCUUGUACUACUUUCAGAUGUGUAUAAAGGAGGUGUGACACCUAUGCAACCUAGGAAUUAACUUUUUAAUCCCUCACUAACUUGUAAUACUCUAUUGCAAUCCACUUUGUAAUAACUCUAGUAAAAAGACUUUACAACUCGACUAACUCUAGCCAAGACUCAAACACAAGGGUUUAAGGUUUACAAAGAGUUCCCUACAGAAUACUUCUAAACUAGCUAAUUAGGAACUAUAAUUGAAGAACUAUUACAAAGUUAUAGUUCAACUAAUGACAUGCAAUGACUUGCUGUGGGGAACUGGUCUGUAGUAAUGUUGUUCUUGAUGCACUUAAAAAUUGAUUGCUUGGUGAUCAAUGACCGUAAGAGUGAUUGAAUGAGUUCUCUAAGUAAACAAGUAAUUUGUUUUACCUUCCUAUAUAUUAAUAAUACAUUUGUUAUAUCACUUAGGAUGAUGCCAGCAAGGUAGGUAAAAGACACUUCCCAUAAAGUUGACUGCUGCACUGUUUCUGCGCUGUAGCGUGAGCCGGUUGCAACUUUAUAGUUGGGAAAAUUGACUUGUACAGUUUCCUCAGAAAAUGAUAGUUAUUUGUUCCCUCUGUUGUUCCUAUGACUCUGAAGAGUUGAAGCAUAUUUCAAGCUAGAACCUUUCGAUCUUAAGGUCUUGAGAAUAUGUAACUAGUUCUUUAUCUGGUUCUUGACAGUAAGUUUGUUAGAUCAUCAAAACAUAGAACAAAGUACUUGUAACCUAUCAAUUUCCCCAUUUUUAAUGAUGAUAAACUUAUAAUUCAACAUCCUAUAAAAAAGCCACAUAGAACCAGACAGUGAACUUGAAAAGCCUUAGUUUCCCCCUGAAUUUGUUUUCCCCAUUAAUCAAUUAUGCACAUUAAUCAAUUAUGCACAUUAAUAUUCCCCAUUUUGGUAUCAUAAAAAGAAGAUCAACAAGUAUAUAGAAAAAGAAGUCUAGAUUGAGUUAACUCAUGCCACUUGUGUGCACACGACAUGACUAAAAACAGAGCAUAAAUACAAGGAAUAGUUCACAAAAAGGGAAAAGCUUGCACUAGCAUUAAUUUGGACUUUUCAACAGGAGCAGAGUCAAUGUUACUACCACCAUCCACAAUUUUGAACAACCAAAAAAUUCCAUAACAUUAUCAUAAAAACUGACACUAAGGGAAUAGACUUAUCACCAAAGACUGGACACUGAAGGGAUGCUGUUUAGGGAGCACAGGAAGGAGAUGGCAUAGAAAGGGCUUGGAGGAAUAAAUCCAUUCGAGCAUUUGCUGACAUUUGCUCAUUGAGCAGUCUCUCUUUCAGGUCAUCCACUUAUUUCCUGAGCUCAGCAUUCUCUUUUGUUAGACGAGCAACCUCUUUUCCCUGAGAAUUACUGGAACCAGGUGCCUCAUGCAGCUGACUUAACUGAGUCUCAAGGAUAGCAUUGCUUGAUUUCAAUUACCGUAUCUCCGAGGUAGCACUAUUCUAAGCAUUGAUCAACUGAGAUAUGGUAGAAGUGCUUCCAACCCCUCCAAUUUUCUCAGUACACUCACAUUCUUUAAGAGUAGCUUUGGAGAAAGUUUGCUUCUUUGUUCCCAAUUUAGCCUGUACUAGAGGAAUCUUGAAGUGCUUAAAGACCUUGGUGAGAAGGAACCCAUACGGAAGCCCAUGAUUACCAUAUUUAAAGUCUGCGUUCUAUCAUAAACUUAGGCAAAUUGAUGGUAGUGAAGUUGUCCAGUGCUUCCAUGACGAACAAGUCUGCACAAGAGGUGAUAGAUAUUCUCUCAGCUCGAGGCAACAAUACCUUGUUCACCAUCUCAAACAACAGUUGGUAUAUAGGAAUGAGGGCCUUCUUCUGAACCCGUUCCCCUGCUGAACUACUCUGUCCUUUAAUAUGGCAUUUCUGAAGUUUUAAGAACAAGAUCCAUGAACAAUAGACAGCUCUUCAGCAGGCACACCAAGAAUGGAACCAAACAAGUUAUAGUACAUUACCAUAUCAACUCCAUUCACCAACACACAAAUAUGAUCAUCUUAAACUUUAAAAAGGCCAGUAUAGAAACUUUGAACUUACUAUUCAUACACCAUUGGAGCAUCAUUUGUGAACAAAUAUGUCCAUUAUUGGAACUCACAUAUCUCAACCAGCUGUCUCAUACCAGCCUCGUCCAAGAUAUCAGGGGUAAAUGUGCAGCCCCAUAGCACCUUUUGACUUCUUAACCUCUCUUUGCCAGCACUCCUUGGAUCACCCACUCUAGCUUUCUUUAAGGAACUAGGUUCCUCAGCCCUAUCAGCUUUUCUCUUAGCAGACUUGCGAACAUUCUUCCCCUUUUCAGCAGCUUUCAUAGACUUUUCACCCAACUCUUUCAUCAGACCAUCACCAGACUCUUCCACAGACUUAUCACUAGACAUAAAGUCAUCAUACUUGUUCAGAUUUUCAGCAGACACAGAGGAUCCCCCUUUUUGCUUUAGGAGACCAUGCUUUCGUGAGAACUUUCUAGUUAAGGAACCAAGCUUCUCUGCAUCUUCCUCAUCCACAUUCACUAUCGACACUGAUUUAUGGUUCACUACUUUCCCAUUUUUUACCAACUUUCUUCUCCUUGACUUAGCUUGGUUGUUCUUAAGAGCAUACUCAAGAGUCUCCUUCUUUUGCAACCUAGUAGUGGGUCGCAUAGGAGUAGAUCUUGAGCAGCAAUUGGUCUGCGCUUAGUUAGGCUUUCUAUUGGCAAAUCAUCAUAAGCCUCUUCACUAUCACCUUUUUCUUCUCUAAAUCUUCCCUGAGGCAUCACCACACAUAAAGGCUCAUCAUUAAAAUAAGGUGAGAGAGUAGGGUCAAUACUGACUCGGGGAUCGUGCGAGGACCCCCAGAGCUGGAUCCUCCUGAGAGGAAUCAGGUCCCUCAUUUGGUGCCCUAGUAGUAUUGUCCUGUGUCGAUUGUUCAAUUGGAACAAGCUCUCUACCCUCUUUCACAGUCUUUGAUUCUUCCCCAUGAUUCCCAAAAUCAUCAUCACCUCAUUCUAUAACAACCCCUUCAUUAGCUAUGGAUAUUAUGUUCUCUAUUGCCUAUUUCUCUUGGACAUCCAUGGAAAACUCAGUAGAGAAAGGACUGUUCCCUGUGGACACAAGAUCAAGAGCAAUCUUUGUUGAGUCAACCUUUUUUUGAAUCAUCAGUUUGAUCUACCUUUGACCACUUUUUCAUAGGCGAACUUGAAUUCCUUAUUUUCUUCUUUGUCAGUAGUACUCUGUUCAUCCCCUUUUUCUGCACGAAGUAGGAGAAGGUCUCUGGGCUACAAAUCUUUUGAGAGCCGAGAUUUUGCAAUUCUUAUGAGAACCAGAACUCGAGUGGGUAGGAGAGGAGACGUAAUACGAGGGUGACCAUGUCCUAGGGUUUUGGCUAGCAGUAGUUUGGGGUGAGGAGUCUAGUAUCAAAAUUUUAAUAGGUGAGGACUCAUUGGGAUGUUUCUUGGAACACUCGAGGUUGUUUGAUUUCAGUCAUCGUGAGAAGAAGAGAAGAGAUUAAGCAGUUUGAAGAGGGGUUUUGAAAUUUGAUGGGAGGAGUUGUGAUAGUGAUAGAUGUAUUUAUGAUGGAUAAGGGACCGAUUAAGAACGAGCGAUAGUUUUGGGAGUUAGGUCCAUUCUCAAUGGGUGAGACUUUUGGGUUCAAAUAUGCAAAACGUACUUGACAUACUGAUGAUGUGGCAUUUGUUUUAACCGUUAAAAAUUAUGCUUGAGAGAAUAAAGAAACUAUUAACCCAUGUCAGGAGAACCAGGAUUCCUGAAUACUCGAGCAUCUAUAAGCUUUUCCCUUUUUACCAGCGCGUACUACAUCAACUGCCUAUUUGCUCUAUAAUCAUCAUGCGUGUCUAUCUGUAACGGUAUAGAGGUGAGUUCGACUUUGCCAGAAAACACUUUUUAGCUAAAUUUACCUGAAUAUUUAUUUUAUAGCCAAUCAUUGAGGGACCAGGUUCUCAGUUGGGUUUCAUCAACCUCAGUGCCAGAUGAUUUUUCUCAAAGUGUUCUAUGCUCAAGGUUUUAUCAAUCUGCAAUUUGAUCUUCAUUGCUAUAUAAUUUCAUCCAGAUAAUCCCUCUUUCAACAUUGUGUCUGAGAAAAUGAUUACGUACAUCAAUGUGCUUGGUCCUCUUAUAUUGAACAUGAUUUUUUUCCAUAUUGAGCGCACUUGUGUUAUCACAUAAGAGAGGCACACAAUCUGAGAACACUCCAAAGUCUUCCAACUGCUGCUUGAUCCACUGUAGUUGAGCACAACAAUAGGCAGUUGCGGCAUAUUACGCUUCUACAAUUGAGAGUGUCACUGAGUUCUGCUUCCUUGUAUCCUAUGAGAUUAAGUAAGAACACAGGAAAUGUGCUAUUCCAGAUGUGCUUUUCCUGUCCACUAGAUAUCCUGCAUAAUCUGUGUCAGCAUACCCAAAAAGAUCAAAAGUGCGAUAUCUCAAUAUUCUCUUGGCAUCCUUCAGAUGAGAUUCCUUUGGAUUUGUUUGAAAUCUUGCACAAAAACCCAUGUUGAAGACGAUGUCUGGUCUGCUUUUAGUGAGAUGUAGGAGUGACCCUUGAUCCAUCUAGACAUGGUUUGAUUUACAGGGGAAACAUGUCCAUCCAUGUCUAGACGGAUAGCUGUGGCAAUAGGAGUGUUGAUGACUUUUGAUGAUUCCAUGCCAAAUAUUUUUAGCAACUCCUUGAUGUACUUCUGCUGACUUAUCAAUGUUCCCUUAUGAGAUUGCUUCACUUGAAGUCCAAGGAAGAAAUUUAAUUAUCCCAUCAUACUCAUCUCGAACUCACUCCCCACGAGUUUUGCAAAUUCUUCACAAACAGAGUAAGCUGUGGCUCCAAAGAUGAUAUCAUCAACAUACACCUGAACAAUGAGCAGGUUCCUCCCUUGUUUAUUCAGAAAAAGAGUGUUGUCAAUUUCCCUCUUAUAUAUCCAUUUUCUAAAAGUAAUUUUGACAACAUCUCAUACCAUGCCCGAGGAUCCUGCUUUAGAAUGUACACUGCCUUGUCCAGUUUAAACAUAUGUUCAGGAUGCUCGUAACUCUCAAAACCAGGAGGCUGCUUGACAUAGACUUCUUCUUUCAGAUAGCCAUUUAGAAAUGCAUUUUUCACAUCCAUUUGGAAUAGUGAGAACUCCAUAUGAGAUGCAAAUGAAAUCAGAAUUCUAAUGGCUUCCAUUCGAACUACUGGAGCAAAUGUUUCAUCAUAUUCGAUCCCUUUUUCCUGAUUGUAGCAUUGAACUACAAGCCUUGCCUUGUUUCUUGUUGUAUUUCAGAACUCAUCAAGCUUGUUCCUGAAUACCCACCCGGUUCCUAUGAUAGUUCGAUCUGCGGGUCAAGGAACCAAGUGCCAUACCUUGUUUCUUUCAAAUUGAUCCAGCUCCUCUUGCAUGGUUGUGAUCCAGUCUGCAUCUUUCAAUGCUUCUUUGUUGUGUUUGGGCUCUAUUUGAGAAAGAAAGGCUGAAAAGGCAAGUGAGUUUCUUGCUUUUGAUAUGGUUUGGAUUCUUGAGUCAAGAGGGGUGAUUAUGUUGUCAAAAGGAUGUGAGUUUUUGUGCUUUUAAUUUGGCACCUGAAUCUCAUUGGUAGAAGACUCAAGUAUGUCUGACUGAGGUUCUUGGAUGAUUCUUACUUCAUCAAGUGGAGUUACUUGGACUGCAUAAACAACUCUUUUUUUAGCUUCAGUUGGUGUGAUCAUGGGACCAGGUUCCUCCUCAAUAGAUGGCGGUACACUUGCGUCAUCUUCACUAGAUUCCUGUGAUGACCCGGCCGGUCGUCUUAAUAAUUAAUGUUGCAAUCCCCUAUUAACUGCUUUCCCUAUGUUUAUUUCUACUUGAUUUUCUGGGAUGUUCGAUUUUGAGUUUCAGAGAGUUUUGGGACUCUUAGUCCCUAAAUGAGAGCUUAAGUGUUGGAAAGUUACCCGUAGUCAGAAUAGUGUAAAGAUGGUCUCGGAAUUGAAAUCCGAUGGUUCAAUUAGCUCGGUUGGGUGAUUUUGGGGUUGUUCGCAUGUUCGUAAUGUGCUUUGGAGGUCCGUAGCUAAUUUAGUCUUGAAAUGCCGAAGUUUGAAUUUUUGAUGUUUUCCGGUUCGGUAGUGAGAUUUUGAUUCGAGAUUCGAAAUAGAAUUCUAGAAGUUGCAGUAGCUCUGUCAUAUCAUUUGGGAUGUCUGCGUAAAAUUUAACGUCAUUCGGAUGUGGUUUAGUUAGGUUUGAUUGAAAGAGUGUUUUGAUGGAAUUUGAAAUUCUUAGGCUUAAAUCAUUGAUUAAUUCGAGCUUUUGACGUUGUUUUAGGUGGUUUAAGGGUUGGUACAAGUUUAAUUGAUGUUAUGGGAUAUGUCCGUAGGUUUGGUUGAGGUCCUAGGGACCUCUUGUGUGUUUUGGAUGCUCAACAGAGCUUUUUGGAGUUGUGAAUAAUUUCAGAAUUCUCUUCAGCUGUUGCAGACCAUUUUCUUCUUUGCGAUUGCGUCCCAGGUCAGGCGUUUACAUCGAGCAAUCUUGGAAAGGGGUCCCAAUUCCUUAAAUGCAAUCACAUGGAUUUUUAUGUGAUUGCAUAGAUCUGCCUCUUCCUCCUUCGCGUUCGUGUAAUAGAAACUAAGCCGGUGACUCAGUGGCCCAUUUCCUUCUUCGCGUUCGCGUGCCUUCAGGAGCGAUCGCGUAAUGCCAGCUCCUUCUCUUCCGAAAUCGCAAGCUUCUCCUCGCAUUCGCGUAGGCGUUUUUCCUGGAGCCUUCAUUUUACUCUACACGAUCAAACCCUAUCUUGGCGAUCACGAUUCAUUAAAUAACUGGGCAGAUAUAGACAUUUCAAAACGAGGGUUUAGCCAUUUUUACCAAAACUCAAGCUAGAGAGCUCGGAUUUAAGAGAGAUUUCGAGGUUUUUUCAGAGGCAUUGAUUGGGUAAUGAUUCUAAACUCCUUUUUACUUGUAACUCGCUAAUCUAAUCAUGAAUUCCUCUUCUAAUUUCGGAUUUUUGAAUGGAAAAUGGGUAAAACUUCAUAGAUCGAAUUAUGGAGUUUUGAGUGGAUGUUUGACCUUCAAUUUGAGAUAUUUUUAUAUGGUUAGACUCGUGAGAGUACGAGGAUUCUUAAAAGGUUCAUUUCAUCCGAUUCCAAGACGUUGUCCUAAGGGGUAUUUUGGUCAUUUUACUUAAUUUCGCAUCUUAGCUUUGAAUUAAAUAGUAGAAUCAAUUGCUUGAGAUAUUAUUUAUGAGAUAUAACUGAAUUGAAUAGAUUUGGGCUAUUUGGAGUUGGAUACUCGUAGAAAAAGUGUGGUUUCGAGUAGAUUUUGGAGCCAGAUCGAGGUAAGUGGCUUAUUUAACCUUGUGUGGGGGACCUUUCCCUUUAGGAUAUGAUAUUGGUAAUUGAAUGCCUUGUAUGUGUGGUGAAGAGCGCGUACUUGAGCUAAUUGUUGAAAACUCAUUUUUUACUUAAAAUAUUUAGAUAGAGUUUACCUGCUUUAUUCUAUUUGCAAUUAUAGCAUGUGUUAGUUUUGAAAAACAUGCUUAGUUGAUCUAAAUUGCCUAUUUGCUUAAGUUGCUUUGUUUGCAUUACAGGAAGCGUGUUAGGCUAGAACUACUUGUUGCCUGGUAUUUUGAUCUCUAUUCUUAAAUAUCUUCUUAUUGUGACUGCGUAUUUAUAUUGGGACUACGGAUGUGGGAUUCCGGUAGCUCCCCCCUUGUUUGUUUACUUUGGGACUACAUGUUACAUUCCCGGUAGAUCCCCAUGCAUAUUUACUUUGGGACUAUGGAUUGGAUUUCGGUAUAUCCCUGUGCAUUGAUAGUUGGAGUAUGGGACGGUAUCUUAGGAGAUCCUUCAGAUAUACACAUACGAUAGACUACAGAACGUUAUCCCGGGAGAUCCUCGGACAAUGAUGAAAUGGACUACAAGACGGUAUCUUGGGAGAUCCUUGUUAUGGCUACUGGUGUUGAGGAAUCUAUCUUAUUUCAUAGCUGUACUCAUUAUAUUUGUUUAUUUAAUACUAUUGCCAGACUUAUUAUUAUGUUUAAUCUUAGUAGGGCUCUGACCUUCCUCGUCACUACCCGACCGAGAUUAGGCUUGUCACUUACUGAGUAUUGUUGUGGUGUACUCAUGCCCCUUCUGCGCAUGUUUUUCUUGUGAAGAUCUAGGUACUUCCUCCCAGGAAUAUUAUCCUCGAGGUGGAGAAUCUAGCAGAAACUUCGAGCUACAUCUGC
rnacentral:lncRNA from 1 species